GGGUUGUGAGGUUAAGCGACUAAGCGUACACGGUGGAUGCCCUGGCAGUCAGAGGCGAUGAAGGACGUGCUAAUCUGCGAUAAGCGCCGGUAAGGUGAUAUGAACCGUUAUAACCGGCGAUUUCCGAAUGGGGAAACCCAGUGUGAUUCGUCACACUAUCAUUAACUGAAUCCAUAGGUUAAUGAGGCGAACCGGGGGAACUGAAACAUCUAAGUACCCCGAGGAAAAGAAAUCAACCGAGAUUCCCCCAGUAGCGGCGAGCGAACGGGGAGGAGCCCAGAGCCUGAAUCAGCAUGUGUGUUAGUGGAAGCGUCUGGAAAGGCGCGCGAUACAGGGUGACAGCCCCGUACACAAAAGCGCAUGUGCUGUGAGCUCGAUGAGUAGGGCGGGACACGUGGUAUCCUGUCUGAAUAUGGGGGGACCAUCCUCCAAGGCUAAAUACUCCUGACUGACCGAUAGUGAACCAGUACCGUGAGGGAAAGGCGAAAAGAACCCCGGCGAGGGGAGUGAAAAAGAACCUGAAACCGUGUACGUACAAGCAGUGGGAGCACAGGUUUACCUGUGUGACUGCGUACCUUUUGUAUAAUGGGUCAGCGACUUAUAUUCUGUAGCAAGGUUAACCGUAUAGGGGAGCCGUAGGGAAACCGAGUCUUAACCGGGCGUUAAGUUGCAGGGUAUAGACCCGAAACCCGGUGAUCUAGCCAUGGGCAGGUUGAAGGUUGGGUAACACUAACUGGAGGACCGAACCGACUAAUGUUGAAAAAUUAGCGGAUGACCUGUGGCUGGGGGUGAAAGGCCAAUCAAACCGGGAGAUAGCUGGUUCUCCCCGAAAGCUAUUUAGGUAGCGCCUCGUGAAUUCAUCUCCGGGGGUAGAGCACUGUUUCGGCUAGGGGGCCAUCCCGGCUUACCAACCCGAUGCAAACUGCGAAUACCGGAGAAUGUUAUCACGGGAGACACACGGCGGGUGCUAACGUCCGUCGUGAAGAGGGAAACAACCCAGACCGCCAGCUAAGGUCCCAAAGUCAUGGUUAAGUGGGAAACGAUGUGGGAAGGCCCAGACAGCCAGGAUGUUGGCUUAGAAGCAGCCAUCAUUUAAAGAAAGCGUAAUAGCUCACUGGUCGAGUCGGCCUGCGCGGAAGAUGUAACGGGGCUAAACCAUGCACCGAAGCUGCGGCAGCGAACGUAUCACCCAAGACAACUUUACGGAGUUGACGAUUGACGGAGCGAAGCGACGUCAAAGCGUUCAUUAAAGUCGAGUUGGCUUAGGGAUACGUUCGUUGGGUAGGGGAGCGUUCUGUAAGCCUGUGAAGGUGUGUCGUGAGGCAUGCUGGAGGUAUCAGAAGUGCGAAUGCUGACAUAAGUAACGAUAAAGCGGGUGAAAAGCCCGCUCGCCGGAAGACCAAGGGUUCCUGUCCAACGUUAAUCGGGGCAGGGUGAGUCGACCCCUAAGGCGAGGCCGAAAGGCGUAGUCGAUGGGAAACGGGUUAAUAUUCCCGUACUUGGUGUUACUGCGAAGGGGGGACGGAGAAGGCUAUGUUGGCCGGGCGACGGUUGUCCCGGUUUAAGCGUGUAGGUGUGUGUUCCAGGUAAAUCCGGUUCACUUUAACACUGAGGCGUGACGACGAGGCACUACGGUGCUGAAGCAACAAAUGCCCUGCUUCCAGGAAAAGCCUCUAAGCAUCAGGUAACAUCAAAUCGUACCCCAAACCGACACAGGUGGUCAGGUAGAGAAUACCAAGGCGCUUGAGAGAACUCGGGUGAAGGAACUAGGCAAAAUGGUGCCGUAACUUCGGGAGAAGGCACGCUGACACGUAGGUGAAGUGAUUUACUCAUGGAGCUGAAGUCAGUCGAAGAUACCAGCUGGCUGCAACUGUUUAUUAAAAACACAGCACUGUGCAAACACGAAAGUGGACGUAUACGGUGUGACGCCUGCCCGGUGCCGGAAGGUUAAUUGAUGGGGUCAGCGCAAGCGAAGCUCCUGAUCGAAGCCCCGGUAAACGGCGGCCGUAACUAUAACGGUCCUAAGGUAGCGAAAUUCCUUGUCGGGUAAGUUCCGACCUGCACGAAUGGCGUAAUGAUGGCCAGGCUGUCUCCACCCGAGACUCAGUGAAAUUGAACUCGCUGUGAAGAUGCAGUGUACCCGCGGCAAGACGGAAAGACCCCGUGAACCUUUACUAUAGCUUGACACUGAACAUUGAGCCUUGAUGUGUAGGAUAGGUGGGAGGCUUUGAAGUGUGGACGCCAGUCUGCAUGGAGCCGACCUUGAAAUACCACCCUUUAAUGUUUGAUGUUCUAACGUGGACCCGUAAUCCGGGUUGCGGACAGUGUCUGGUGGGUAGUUUGACUGGGGCGGUCUCCUCCUAAAGAGUAACGGAGGAGCACGAAGGUUGGCUAAUCCUGGUCGGACAUCAGGAGGUUAGUGCAAUGGCAUAAGCCAGCUUGACUGCGAGCGUGACGGCGCGAGCAGGUGCGAAAGCAGGUCAUAGUGAUCCGGUGGUUCUGAAUGGAAGGGCCAUCGCUCAACGGAUAAAAGGUACUCCGGGGAUAACAGGCUGAUACCGCCCAAGAGUUCAUAUCGACGGCGGUGUUUGGCACCUCGAUGUCGGCUCAUCACAUCCUGGGGCUGAAGUAGGUCCCAAGGGUAUGGCUGUUCGCCAUUUAAAGUGGUACGCGAGCUGGGUUUAGAACGUCGUGAGACAGUUCGGUCCCUAUCUGCCGUGGGCGCUGGAGAACUGAGGGGGGCUGCUCCUAGUACGAGAGGACCGGAGUGGACGCAUCACUGGUGUUCGGGUUGUCAUGCCAAUGGCACUGCCCGGUAGCUAAAUGCGGAAGAGAUAAGUGCUGAAAGCAUCUAAGCACGAAACUUGCCCCGAGAUGAGUUCUCCCUGAGACUUAGAGUCUCCUGAAGGAACGUUGAAGACGACGACGUUGAUAGGCCGGGUGUGUAAGCGCA
rnacentral:rRNA from 1 species